UCAAACUUGGUCAUUUAGAGGAAGUAAAAGUCGUAACAAGGUUUCCGUAGGUGAACCUGCGGAAGGAUCAUUACAAAUCCAACGUCUCACCCGAGACACCGUUGAAAUAUCACCCUAUGUGUGUUGUGGGGUAGGGUAGGGGGGCACGCGAGGGGGAGGGAACGUUUCCUUCCUUCCUUCCUCUGCCGCCCUCCUACUGUAUUAUCCACACGCACGUACAAACUAGAAACCGUUGAUCAUUUGUAUGCUUCUUUAACAAGAAACAACUUAUACCAAUGGAUCUCUAGGCUCUUGCAUCGAUGAAGAACGCAGC
rnacentral:misc_RNA from 1 species